rnacentral:rRNA from 1 species
UCGAACGAGAAAAUCCGGGUGUAUCAAUACAUUCGGGUGAGUAAAGUGGCGAACGGGUGAGUAACACGUAGCUAACCUGCCCUCGAGCGGGGAAUAACCUGCGGAAACUCGGGCUAAUACCGCAUAACGUUCCGGGGACCAUGUAUCUGGAAUCAAUGGCCCGCAAAGGCCACUCGAGGAGGGGGCUGCCGCCGAUUAGCUAGUCGGCGGGGUAACCGCCCAACAGAUCGAUGAUCGGUAGCCGGCCUGAAAGGGCGCACGGCCACACUGGCACUGAAACACCGGGCCAUACUUCAAGGGGGAGGCACCACUGGGGAAUUCUGCACCAUGGCCGAAAGGGGUUAUCCAGCAACCCCGCGUGUAGGGAUAAUGGGCUCUGGGAUCGGUAAAACUCUUUUCCACCGGAAAAAAGGACGGGGGGAAAAAGGCCGUCCCGAUUGGUAUCCGGUG